GAUGAACGCUGGCGGCGUGCCUAAUACAUGCAAGUCGAGCGAACAGACGAGGAGCUUGCUCCUCUGACGUUAGCGGCGGACGGGUGAGUAACACGUGGAUAACCUACCUAUAAGACUGGGAUAACUUCGGGAAACCGGAGCUAAUACCGGAUAAUAUAUUGAACCGCAUGGUUCAAUAGUGAAAGACGGUUUUGCUGUCACUUAUAGAUGGAUCCGCGCCGCAUUAGCUAGUUGGUAAGGUAACGGCUUACCAAGGCAACGAUGCGUAGCCGACCUGAGAGGGUGGUCGGCCACACUGGAACUGAGCCACGGUCCAGACUCCUACGGGAGGCAGCAGUAGGGAAUCUUCCGCAAUGGGCGAAAGCUUGACGGAGCAACGCCGCGUGAGUGAUGAAGGUCUUCGGAUCGUAAAACUCUGUUAUUAGGGAAGAACAAAUGUGUAAGUAACUAUGCACGUCUUGACGGUACCUAAUCAGAAAGCCACGGCUAACUACGUG
rnacentral:rRNA from 1 species